UGACACUAAGUUAAAUCGCAACCAACACCAAACAGGGAUGCCAAGUUCCCAACGGCCGGGAGAUUGUCAAACCAGUUUUUGAUAUUUAGCGUUGGUUGAUUUGUAACCGAUGCAAAAUUUCACAGCUGACGGAAACUUUGUAGUGGGUUUCCAACAAGUGUAAGAAAAACAUUUUGUAGAAAGAAAAUUUACAACACACAAAAAUAUGAAGUACAUAAAAAUGAGUACUAACAAAAAAAAAUAUGUUCGGCAAAUAAAAAAAAAAUCACACUUGAAAGAGAGAGCUUAGAACUCCCUCGAGUUAGGGUUGCGCUCCCCUUGUUUAGGGUUUCAUCGCCGCUCUACUUCUACCACGGCGUAACCCAUUUC
rnacentral:lncRNA from 1 species